UCUUUCAUUCCUGACUAAACAUAAAUAAUCCACCACUUUGAUAAUAUCUAGAGCCAUUAUUCUGCCACAUUUGUUCACUAUGUACUAUGCUACUAAUUCUCGCUCUUCGUCUUCUUCAUUCUUAUUCCCUUGAAUUCAAAGUUUUCUUCCUGUGCGAAAAUGAUUUAGAUGGCAAAGAGGCCAGGAAAAGAUUGUCAAUUUUAGAGUUUGAAACGGCACAUGCAAUUUGGAGGAAGGAAGAAGAUUCUGAAAAGAGUAAUAGCGGGAAGUUCUUAAUGUUGAAAACAUGAAAUUGGUCUUUUAAACAAAGGGGACGAGGAGCCUAUUCUAUUUUGUAACUUGCGAGCAGGGCUCAUUUGUGUGGUUUAAGAGUGUGAUGGAUGAGUCCCAAAGAACGAUCAAGAAUCCCUAAUUCAGCUUCAUAACUACUGCACCAACGUAUAUAAUAAAGUUGAUUCAUGAUCUGCACUAAUUACUAUGCUUCAAGCAUCCAACAAGCUAAAAAUGGUGUUGACAUAGUCUCUGGAGCAAGUGUGAAGACUCAUUUUGUUGGAUCAAAGUGGCGCCAAGUUUUCAAACACAUUGCAAUUAAUCAUCUAGAUUAAAAGAAUUGGUUAGUACUUAUCUAGCAUAUUUACUCAUUAUUCAUUCUUAUUAAUAAAUUUUUGUUUUAGAGUUUAUUGAAAACGCCUUUCCACCUCACAAGGUAUUAAACUGGGUACACUAUUGUCGUCAUCAAAUUAUAAGUAAUAUUUUGCUCCUUUUUAAAAAAAUUUAUUUUUGAAUUUAUGCAUAUGUCAGUAUCUUUUAUUGUGGUCCAUAAGAUCUGAUUGAAGAGCUAAGACAUCUGUCCCAAGAUUUCUCACGCACGACAGGCAUAAGCUUGAAUUUCAUAAAGAAAAUUUCUAAGGUUCAAACUUGUUUUAUUAUAUACUUUUGAGAUACAUGCUUAGCUUGACUUCAAUUAACAAGGGAUGGUGUUGGAAAGUAAAAUACAUUGUUAGCUAUAUAAAGCUCUAACCUGUAAAGUCAUUACUGAGAACUCAAAUCUCUUUAAAGUUGCUUUAAUAGCUUCCAUAAUUAUCCCUUUAAGAAUAAAAGGGAUACAGAUGAUAUAUAUCAAAUGAGCAGGGUAAUUGACAUUACCCUUAUUUUUUAACCAAAUUUUUUUUGGAGUGCUUUUGUUUAGUUAAAUGUGAUUCAACUCUAGCUGCACAUUUGUUUUAAUUGAGGUAUACUCUAAGUUGAGUAGUGGCUAAACCAAAGUAAAAUGAUAACUCUGUGAGUAAAAUGUUGUUUGCAUCACAAUUUGAUGGAAUCUGGAGCUACUGAUGCAUCUUGAUAAGUGUAUGUGAUCCGUGCAAUUACUGUCCAUUCUUCAUUAAAUUGUAGGAAAAAAUGAAUGAGAAGCGUGACAUAUGCGCAUCUGGCAUUGCUCCUAAAUGGACUAAUGCAUAUUUAAAGAUUAUACAUUAGCUCCAUGAAAGAUAUUAUUUAUAGAGAAGACAUGCGUGAUAGCAGCUAGGUUAUUCUCUUUUUGAUGUUGUGGUCUUUAUGAACUGAUGACUAUAAUGAAGAAAAGUAGAGGGAAUAUGUAGUAAAAUGUUCAACUGCUCCUGGUUUAUACUGUAUUGACUGUUUUGGAGCUUUUAAAUGGUGCACAAAAAUCUUCUCAGGUUGUUCUCGAUUUUGCAGGGUAAUAACAUCUAUAAGAUUAAUUCAAAUGGGUCUAUUUCAUUGCCAUUGACACUUUUCUUUCUUUCAUCUUCCUAAUUCCUCAAGUGAGCUCCAUGCCAGUCUGACUAAGGUAAGGGGGAAGACCUCAUUUCGUCAAUCAUAUCUAUUCGUCUUAGUCCUGAGGCUUCAGUGAUUCAAUCCGACAUUUCAUUUCACCCUUCAUCAUUUGAUUAUUCUCAUCUAAGAGCUGAUCUUGCAAAAGGAGUACAGUGCGAUAACAAGUGAAAAUCGGCAAACAAAUUGCCGUCUCAGGUGUUUAAAGUUGAAGAAACCAUUGGGCGUCUAACAACAACUGCUCUUUCCCUACUACUUCUGCAAGAGAAUGUAUCUUGCAGGACUAGCUGAUGCCUACCACCUCUUUAUGCAACGUUGAAUCAUUGUUGGACUUGCUGAUGCCGAUCACCUCUUUGUGCAAAGUCGAAUUAUUUUUUCCCUUGGAUUUAUUCGUGUUCCUACAGUGGAACCUUGAACAGAAUUUCAAGCAGCAAGGAGAAAAGUAGAGUCAUUAGAUACCCCUACUAUGUUUGCCGCUCUUGCCAUGAGGACAAACAUCGAACAUAUACCUUGCAAAGACGCUAUGAGAGAAUGAAGACAUUUUAAACAUCAUAUAAGUUGCUUGUGUUAAAGUUCAAUUACUCAAUUUGUAUUGUAUAAUCUUUAUGUUAUUGAUAGCAAUGAUUUAUUAACUAUGCUAUUGGGAAGUUGUAUUCAAAUUGUAAAAAUUAAUGUAGUGUUAUACCAAUUUCUUUCCUUUUU